CAGGCCUAACACAUGCAAGUCGAGCGGACCAUUCCUUCGGGGAUGGUUAGCGGCGGACGGGUGAGUAACACGUAGGCAACCUGCCUGUAAGAUCGGGAUAACUACCGGAAACGGUAGCUAAGACCGGAUAGCUGGUUUCCCCGCAUGGGGGAAUCAUGAAACACGGGGCAACCUGUGGCUUACGGAUGGGCCUGCGGCGCAUUAGCUAGUUGGUGGGGUAACGGCCCACCAAGGCGACGAUGCGUAGCCGACCUGAGAGGGUGAUCGGCCACACUGGGACUGAGACACGGCCCAGACUCCUACGGGAGGCAGCAGUAGGGAAUCUUCCGCAAUGGGCGCAAGCCUGACGGAGCAACGCCGCGUGAGUGAUGAAGGUUUUCGGAUCGUAAAGCUCUGUUGCCAAGGAAGAACGCCUCGGAGAGUAACUGCUCUGAGGGUGACGGUACUUGAGAAGAAAGCCCCGGCUAACUACGUGCCAACAGCCGCGGUAAUACGUAGGGGGCAAGCGUUGUCCGGAAUUAUUGGGCGUAAAGCGCGCGCAGGCGGUCUUUUAAGUUUGGUGUUUAAGCCCGGGGCUCAACCCCGGUUCGCACUGAAAACUGGGAGACUUGAGUGCAGGAGAGGAAAGCGGAAUUCCACGUGUAGCGGUGAAAUGCGUAGAGAUGUGGAGGAACACCAGUGGCGAAGGCGGCUUUCUGGACUGUAACUGACGCUGAGGCGCGAAAGCGUGGGGAGCAAACAGGAUUAGAU
rnacentral:rRNA from 1 species